rnacentral:rRNA from 1 species
UACGGAGGGGGCUAGCGUUGUUCGGAAUUACUGGGCGUAAAGCGCACGUAGGCGGCUUUGUAAGUUAGAGGUGAAAGCCCGGGGCUCAACCCCGGAAUUGCCUUUAAGACUGCAUCGCUUGAAUCAUGGAGGGGUGAGUGGAAUUCCGAGUGUAGAGGUGAAAUUCGUAGAUAUUCGGAGGAACACCAGUGGCGAAGGCGGCUCACUGGGCCGAGCCUGACGCUGAGACGCGAAGGCGUGGGGAGGCGAACGGG